rnacentral:rRNA from 1 species
GCCAGACUCCUACGGGAGGCAGCAGUGGGGAAUAUUGGGCAAUGGGGGAAACCCUGACCCAGCGACGCCGCGUGAGGGAAGAAGGUUUUCGGAUUGUAAACCUCUGUCCUUGGUGACGAUAAUGACGGUAGCCAAGGAGGAAGCCACGGCUAACUACGUGCCAGCAGCCGCGGUAAUACGUAGGUGGCGAGCGUUGUCCGGAAUUACUGGGUGUAAAGGGAGCGUAGGCGGCGGCGCAAGUCUGAAGUGAAAGCCCGUGGCUCAACCGCGGAACCGCUUUGGAAACUGCGAGGCUGGAGUGCUGGAGAGGUAAGCGGAAUUCCUGGUGUAGCGGUGAAAUGCGUAGAUAUCAGGAGGAACACCGGUGGCGAAGGCGGCUUACUGGACAGUGACUGACGUUGAGGCUCGAAAGCGUGGGGAGCGAACAGGAUUAGAUACCCGUGUA